rnacentral:rRNA from 1 species
GUCUUUUUGAAAAUAAUUUAAAGUCUAAUCUGCCCACUGAUUUUAAAUUAAAGGGCUGCAGUAUUUUGACUGUACAAAGGUAGCAUAAUCAAUAGUCUCUUAAUUGGUGACUUGUAUGAAAGAUUUGAUGAAAUAUAAACUGUCUCUAUUAAAUUUAUAAAAUUUAAUUUUUUAGUUAAAAAGCUAAAAUAUUUUUAAAAGACGAGAAGACCCUAUAGAGUUUUAUAAUUUAUUUAUUUUUAAUUUUGUUUAAAUAUUAAAGUUAAAAAUAAAUAAAUUAUUUUAUUGGGGUGAUAGAAAAAUUAGAUAAACUUUUUUUAAAAAUUUUACAUUAAUUUAUGAUUAUAUGAUCCGUAAAUUACGAUUAAAAGAUUAAAUUACCUUAGGGAUAACAGCGUAAUUUUUUUUUUUAGUUCAAAUAAGAAAAAGAGUUUGCGACCUCGAUGUUGGAUUAAGAUAAAAUUUAAAAUGCAAAAGUUUAAAAUUUUUGAUCUGUUCGAUCAUUAAAAUCUUACA